UACGUAGGGUGCAAGCGUUGUCCGGAAUUAUUGGGCGUAAAGAGCUCGUAGGCGGUCUGUCACGUCGGCUGUGAAAACCCGAGGCUCAACCUCGGGCCUGCAGUCGAUACGGGCAAACUAGAGUACUGCAGGGGAGACUGGAAUUCCUGGUGUAGCGGUGAAAUGCGCAGAUAUCAGGAGGAACACCGGUGGCGAAGGCGCCACUCUGGGCCGAAACUGACGCUGAGGAGCGAAAGCUAGGGGAGCAAACGGG
rnacentral:rRNA from 1 species